GCCUCGGUGGCUCUGAGGCCAGAGCGUCGGCCUGUGGAUCCCCAUGUGGCGGGUUCGAAUCCCGGCCGAGGUG
rnacentral:tRNA from 1 species